rnacentral:lncRNA from 1 species
CUUAGUCUCAAUACUGCUAAUCUAGAUAGAAAUACCAACAUUAUUCUUUCAUCAAAUAUUCUAUGAGAAAAACUGGUUGAUGUAUGACAUCUUUCAAGGUCAGCUCAUAGGCAACGAGAUCAUUUCCAUUAAAAGAGACAGCUGGAGGAUGGCUGGAAUCUAACAGUCAAAACACCGCCAAUCUGCUAAGAAAUUGUCGUCUCGUAACAUAAUGCAACAUGCAGCAGAAGCUUCGCAUUCCAAAAAAAAAAAAGUCAUAUAUUAAAAGGAAAUCAGAGUUGAUGAUGGAAGAAAAGAAAAAAAACCUACCACAUCCACCAAGUUCUAGGCCUAGUAGAAAUGCUUUCUCCAAUCUCUCGAUAUUUCACAACAACAGAUUGAAGAUAAUCAAAAUUAAUAACAUGGGUUUUCAUUCACCUGAAUUCCAGCCAGACACUUACUUGGUGCUGUUACAAAAUGCAAACAUGUGGCAACAGCACUUAAUUCUCCUGUUAGAGUUAAGAGUAUGCAGAAAGAAUAUAGCAUUACAAAUAAUUUAAACAUAAAUGGGUUAGCAAGCAAAUGAGCUCCCCAAUUGGCCCUGAAAACUUUUCCAGGAUAUGGUGCCCGGACAUUCAGAUAUACAUUUGCCAGGACAUUAGAUGUAUGGUUGCCAGGACAUUCAGAUAUACGUUUGCCAAGACCAUCUAAUAAUAAACACUACCAUAUUUAAGUUCCAGGCCUAGAUUCAGAGAUGUGGUCCUACUCUAGCAUGGUGUAAGCAUAUGGGGCACUAUCCUGACUCCAGUAAACAAAUUAAGACUAAUUCAACAGUUGAUGAUACAGAAGGUUAUCCCAAGUCAAGACAUGGUCAUCUCCAAAUUGAGCCCAUUAACAAUCUAGAUGCACAUUCAUGGAUGGAAACUAGCAAACUUGAGCAUUUGAUUCAACUGUUUCUGCCUGUUCAACACUAACCAAACAAGUGAACCAAUGCUUUAAUAGA